UUGAGCCAUAUGUCUGAAUCAACUCAAUCUCAUAUACAUAUAUCAUAACAAUCAUAUGACACCUAAUAAUCAUGGCUAAAAUACUGUUCUUUGUGGUUUUGGCUGUAAUGUGGUGCGUCGGGAACUCGCGAAGUAUUCCCACUCCUUCAGAGCCUAGUGCCCUGGUCAGCAAGAAAAACUCAACCCAAAAUAACACACUCGAAGAUACUGCACCGAAACUUACCCAGUUUGAUGCGCCAGCUAUAAAAUCUGUUGUUAUACAUAUUCCCAGACAACGACGACAAGAAUGGGAACCGUACCUUCCAUUUAAUUUCUUAUACACACACUCGCCCUGCGAUUUCGACGCUGCUCCGGUAGUACAUGGUUCACUGGGUGAACGUGGUUGUCUGUGGCUUUAUAGCCAGAGGUUCGCCUCCGAGGGGUUCUACCGUAUCUUCUCUCUAUUUAGGUUGGAGGGGUUCUUUUUCGGCAUGUAUAUGGAGCGGUUGUUUCGAUAUGAGUACGACAUUCACUAUUUUGAUUACGAAGAUAUUGUUAUCCAACCAAAGCCGGCGAAGUGAGCGUUCUAAACCGUUUACCUUUCUUCCAAUAAUCUUCAAAUCUUUUAUCGAAAGAAUCGAUGACAUACAUUUGGUCGUUAUGGUCUUUCCUAGGAAAAAACUUAUCGACUUAUCGACGAUUUUUUAUGGUCUUUCCUAGGAAAGGUCUUUUCGAUAAUUCACUUCCAUCCGUUGAUCAGAUGUCAACAAAUAAAGUUUCCAAUAAUAAAAAGAAA
rnacentral:sRNA from 1 species